rnacentral:rRNA from 1 species
UGGGGAAUAUUGCACAAUGGGCGCAAGCCUGAUGCAGCCAUGCCGCGUGUAUGAAGAAGGCCUUCGGGUUGUAAAGUACUUUCAGUCGGGAGGAAGGUGGUAAGGUUAAUAACCUUAUCAAUUGACGUUACCGACAGAAGAAGCACCGGCUAACUCCGUGCCAGCAGCCGCGGUAAUACGGAGGGUGCAAGCGUUAAUCGGAAUUACUGGGCGUGAAGCGCACGCAGGCGGUUGAUUGAGUCAGAUGUGAAAUCCCCGGGCUUAACCCGGGAAUUGCAUCUGAUACUGGUCAGCUAGAGUCUUGUAGAGGGGGGUAGAAUUCCAUGUGUAGCGGUGAAAUGCGUAGAGAUGUGGAGGAAUACCGGUGGCGAAGGCGGCCCCCUGGACAAAGACUGACGCUCAGGUGCGAAAGCGUGGGGAGCAAACAGG